rfam:Myotis brandtii contig266651, whole genome shotgun sequence.
UGCGGUUCUUGGGUGAUGCACCCAGAACCAGAGAGGAGGGAGCCUGAUUCUGGGGUGUGUCACCCAAGAACUGCC